rnacentral:lncRNA from 1 species
CAAGUAUCAUUCUCUCCUUUGAAACACUAUACUGUUUUUUUCAGAAGGCCUGAUCCUGUAGUGGAUGGAGUCCACCGAGAAUCCUUCUAAUUUUGUGAGCUACUGGUCAGGCUAUGGUUGAAUUCAGUCUGUUUGCAGGAGCAUAGCCAGCACUCUGAGAUAUCCUGGAAGAAAGGACUGCUCUGCAGAAGCUCACUGAAAGACUUCCUGAUAGGAAAAAAUCACUGCUGGAGAGAUGGAAAGGAGCCCACACAGUGGAAGCGGACCAGCUGUGCAAGAGGACGGUCCAGGACGGCUGAAUCGGCCCCGGCUGGGCGCUCAGGAGCUCCCGUCCACCCACCCGCAGCCAUUUCCUGUUCCUUCCCAAGGCUCCUUCCCGAGGCUCCUCUCCCGGAUCCCGCCGUGAGGCGGAGCGAGCGG